rnacentral:rRNA from 1 species
CGGCACCUCAAGUGGUCAGGAUGAUUAUUGGGCCUAAAGCAUCCGUAGCCGGCUCUGUAAGUUUUCGGUUAAAUCUGUACGCUCAACGUACAGGCUGCCGGGAAUACUGCAGAGCUAGGGAGUGGGAGAGGUAGACGGUACUCGGUAGGAAGGGGUAAAAUCCUUUGAUCUAUUGAUGACCACCUGUGGCGAAGGCGGUCUACCAGAACACGUCCGACGGUGAGGGAUGAAAGCUGGGGGAGCAAACCGGAUUAGAUACCCGAGUAGUC